GCACAGGGUCAAAAGCAACUGUGCAUUGCUUCAAAAAGGAGAAGUGCUGUCACCUGAAGUUAGAAAGUCUGAAAAUCCUAUCAGUGGUGGAAUACAAGUGCUCUGGAGCUGGGGAGUGAACCAAAAUCAGCUGAGGUUCCUCGUGUUGGUGCUUCCACGAAGGGUGCUCUGCAAGUCUGUGUAAGGCAUGGACUCCUGACAAACCCUUGCAGACUCCUGGUAGAACCACUUAUGGCAGCAGGACUCUGCCCAAUGCAGAAGUCCUUAAGGCUCCUUAUAUCUGAGCCAAACAUGCUUUAUUCAUCUCAAGGGAUACAAUAAAAUACCCCAAUACUGCAUUUCAUGAAGAAAUAGAGUAAUACUCAAAUUUAAAUGAAAAUAUUGCUGAAACCAUUGCUUUUCAAGCAAAAUUCUUCAUAUUCUAACCUCUAUUCAAGCUUCUAUGGUCCAGAUACAAAUGUGGGUGCAGAAAACAGAAACAGUCGCACAGAAAAUUACCUCACUGGAUUGUGUUUGUUUAUACUCUAAAUUCAUUUUCACUGAGAUAUGUUAUUUCAAUUAAAAACAGUAUCUGUGUGUAUGCUUGUUUAGCCUUAGCUGUGGAGUUAGUUCUGUGACAGCAGUGUACUUCACAGCGUUAUAAAAAAAUUAAUUCAGUUAUUAAAUAAAACCUUGGUUUUCAGCUCUGUUUUGUUUCAAAAAUAGAAUAUCUAUGCUGUAAUCAUAAAACAAAAACUUAUUAGGAUGAAUAUCAAUCUGCUUUCUGCAACAAGAAAAGAAGACGGAGUGGCUGAAUUUUGGCAUGUAAUCUCACAUUGGGUAACAAAGGUUAAAAACAAAAGCGUUGCUUUAUCACAAUUAUUCCUC